CAUGGCUGUAAUUAACUUGACAUUAGGAGUGUGAUGUAUAAUUGGAUGUACAUGCACACCACUCGGUGUGCAAGAUGAAGCCCAGCUAGUGGAGUACUUGGGAGAAAGUGCAGGACUGAACUGCUGUGUGCUACCUGCUAUCGGUGUUUUUCCAUCACAUAACUGUGGGUUGUUUGGUUCUUUGCUACCCAACCAGAACCUGCAGGUGCAACACAUCAACAUCCCGCCGCAUCAGUCAUUCAGAGACUGGGCUGUACCCGGCCCUCUUCAGUGUAUUUUGAACAGGCUUUCGACUCAAAUCCAAGUUAGAUGAGGCAGAUAUGUUUGAAUCUGUGUUUCGCAGGGUGGAUUAUUUUUGUGUUCGCCUGUUAGAUAAGAACUAAAUAGGACAUCGGCUCAGAGUUUGAUCUAUUCUUAGAGCAGAAUCAGCAAGCCUCAGAGAUGACUGAAUAUCCCUGAAGUCCCUGCAUGCUCUAUUUAGACCAUGACUGACAAUAUUUGAUGUGCGCCGUUAGACAAGACAGCUCAAAUGGUAUGUGUGUGUGUGUGUGUGUCCAUGUUUGUGCAUCUGGGUUGUUGACAUUUGCCUGGUUGAGGAAGUAUACACGAUUUGACCUCCAUGUUCUCCAUUUAUGCCCAAAAAAGGGAUUAAUAUGUCAUAUGAGUCUUUCUGUGAUGUUCUUUAAAAAUUUCUAACCUACUCUCCUGUUAUUUUAUGCGCUAUUUUUUUAUGUCUCAUUCUGCAUUUCCGUAGCUUAGCAACUGUGAUGCAGUGCUGAUAAAACAUCAUGCAUAGCUUUGCUUUGUGGUAUAGUUCCUUCACUAGAAAUACUUUGUGUAACUUGUCCAUGACAUCUUACAUUUAUAGUUUACAGUAUGCGCAGCACAAAAUAGAUUUAACCUUGCAACGAGGCAAAAUAAUGUAAAGUGCACAGAGGAAAAAUACAAGGAAGUAAACAAGUUUUAGAGAUUGAUCUUAGCUGUAUGGUUAACAAACACAAUGCAUUCCUUUCUUCUCCUGCCUCGUGUUUUCAUCCACUGCCUCUAAAUCACUGCUAACUGAUUUUCCUUUCUUUUAUCUUUGAAGAAAAAUGCCGGGAAUUUCAGCCCCUUAUUUAUCACCUCACAAUGAAGUCAAGCUGCCACCAGACAAGAUGAGGAGCAGCAAUCAGCCUGCAGAUGGAAACAAGGGUGGGUGGUUGGAAGGCUGGAUAAAGGCUGCUGGAUGACUGAACUCAGAGACCCGGCGCAGCUCAUCAUCAUUGCCAUGGGCUCUUGUCUUCUUCCUCUCCUCCUGUGGCUUGUACCUCCAUCCAGGGGUCCAGUAGAGCCAGUGAAGCCCAGGCGGGGAGCUAGUGAGUGGGCCGGGAAGGAUGGAGAAGGUCCCCAAAGGCUCAGAUCACCUCUGGAGCUACCGGCAUGCAGGAGAAAUCAAUAUGAAACAGAAAACCUUCACAGCUCUGAGUGGGGUUUCCUGUGUUUUAAGUGUGUGGCCUACGGGCCUGCAGACCUCCAAAAGACAGGUCCUGUGUGGUUCUCUCAGCUGCAGCCCUGGCUCCUUGGACUGGACCUCAGUCCCAAUCUCCACUGGCUGUGUGUGUGGUUCUGCUGAAGGGGAUUUCUCCCCAAAUAAUACCCAAUGCCCAGAACGUUGAAAGACUGCCAAGAGGGAUGCUCCUUUCUCUUGCCUUUUUUUUCCAUCAUAAGAUUGACGUAUCCCCCCAACCUCCUGCCUCGGGCUGAUAAAAAAAAAAAACAAAAUAAAAAAAAAAACACAGUUCGGGAGCUCUACUUUUGACUCAUUCUCCAUCCUCGACUCGCCCGUUGUUUAUUCCCCCAACUAGUUUUUACAUUUGACAAAGAGACAGAUCUUUAUUUUCUCUACCACUCGCUUGGCUUGCUGUUACUAUGGUGAGCUGUAGACACGUGUCUGUUCAAACAAGAAAUACUGGCACACGAAGUAUGAGCUUUUUUUUUUCUCCAUGAUGUCUAUUAUUCAAUUUCAGACUGUUUAAAAAAAACUGACUGAACAGCAAAGAGGGCUGGAGAUCAUAGAGCAGAGAGACCUUGUAGUGGAGAUGGUAAAAUGAUUGACGGCGCAGGAGAAAAAUCUGCUUGCGUUUGGCUCAAAGACCAGGCCUGUUCAUCUGUUGUUUUUCUGGUGUAUAACAAAACCUCAGAAACAAAGAUUUUGUUGUAAUAUGGGUUAACAUUGAUAUUUUAAAAACACCAAAAAAAAAAUGUUAUUUCAUUGUCUCUUAAGAUGUACUUUAUUGCCAACAAGCAUCUGGGGUUGAAUAAAGAAAUGUAUUUAAAGCUUUUAAAUAUAUAUUGUUUAUUGAGAGCCUUGUGUUUUGUUUGCUGUCCACUGCUGUAUUUGAUGCUCGUCAUUCGGCAAGAGUAUAGAGAAAAAUUUGAACUAAUUUUUUUAAUAAAAAGUCAGAUUGAUCACACCGCACUUUUAUUUUUGUGCCAGUUUUACAAUAAAGACUUUGUGUCUAAUGUAUAUAUAUGUGUGUGUAUAAACGCGCGGUCAAUAAAGUAACAUUAAUUUGAACCUCCUAUUUCCAGCUUUUUUUUUUUAUUACUUAGUUUUCAUUCUAAAUGCACAUUUCCCUAAAAUAUCUAAUAAGUCUAAUUUGGGCAUGAAGCUGUCACAUAUUUUUAUAAAGACCAAAAAAUGAUGGUGAAACUGAUUUUUUAACAUUCAGUUUAUUUUCUCACAUUUAUUUCAUUCAUUAUCGUAAGUCUAGCGCACUUAUAGCUAUUUACAAAACAAUACUACCUCCAGUGUCUUGUUACAUAAAGAAAUAUGCAAUAGAGAAAACUCACACAAUAACAUUUUCACUACAGUUAUUCUGACUUUUUGACAAACGUGGAAGUUUUUUUUGUUUGUUUGUUUUUUUAUUUGAUUUGUCUCAAUUUGCUGGUUUAGUGCAGAGGAAUAAACAGAAAUAUUAAAUCUUUUUGUUUUUACUUUUUAAAAAUUAUUUUUGUGUAGGCCCACACAUGCUAUUUGCCAUAAAAGACUGGUCUGUUUGUGCCUUUUUAAAUCAAACAGUGAAUGUAGAAUUUCUUUUCUUCUAGCUCAGCAAAAUUAGGCCCACACCAAACUGUGCUCAGACUCAGAGUGUAGUAGGUCAGGAAGAUUGGAAUAUUUGCAUUUUAAACAAACUGGCUUUUUGAAGCAUUUAAACAAAAAGGGGGGGAAAAGAUCGGGUUUUGAAGUUUUUAGCUACAUAUCUUUGACGUGGUUAAAAAACAAAAAUGCUCGCUAUACUGUCUACAGCACAGUUUUAAUAUUACUAACCAGAAAAGCAGGUGUAUUUGUAAAUCAAACACAAGGAGCUUAAUGGUAUAUUAU
ensembl:lncRNA